GCAUCAAUAUGAAUCUAUUCUUCACAUGAAUCUAUUCAGCUUCUCCGCAUAGGAUAUGAAUCUGUUCUUGUAUUCUUCGCACCGCGUCUUUGUUGUAUAGUGUCUCGAACAAAAAUUUUUUGUAUAUCAUAAAACGCAGUAUCCGUCGCUGAACAGUGAACAAUGACGUGACGGACGAGAGUCUUCAGAAUCAGUCGCUGGUCAGUUACUGAGACAAUACUUCUAUAAGCAGAGCUCAGGAAAAAUGGAAAACAAUAGAGAAAAUGAUCAAAAUAUCCAAGAACAAGUGCAACAACAGUUACAUCAGCAACAAUUACAGCCUCAACAGCCUUAAUAGCAUCAACUUGAUAUGCAUCUUCAACCCGUACAACCAGAAGAAAAUGAUAUGCAUACUAAAUAUACGCGAAAUAUGGCAAGAAUUACAAAUGCUGCCACAACUGUAUUAUUAGGAUAACAAAGAUAUGAGAAUUAUAAGAAUUGGAAUAAUAAAAAUCAAGAAUCAAAUCAAUAAAUAAAAAUAAAUAAAAAUCAAGAAAAUAAAUAAAUAAAUAUCAAGAAAAAUAAAUAAAAAUCAAGAAAAGGACAAAGACAACGAUGAGGACGAAAACAAGCAAGAGAAUUAAAGACAUGAACGAUAUAUAUAAACAAAAUGUUUGUAUGUAUAAUUUAUAAUUAUA